rnacentral:tRNA from 1 species
GCCCAUGUGGUGGAAUUGGGAUACACUCUGGACUUAAAAUCCAGCGCCGUUCAGGAUUACGAGUUCGAAUCUCGUCAUGGGCA